UACGGAGGGUGCGAGCGUUAUCCGGAAUCACUGGGCGUAAAGGGCGCGUCGGUGGCGCGACAAGUCAACGGUGAAAGCCCGGGGCUCAACCCCGGGUCGGCCGUCGAUACUGUUGGGCUUGAGCACUGUAGAGGCAGAGGGAAUUCCGGGUGUAGCGGUGGAAUGCGUAGAGAUCCGGAAGAACACCGGUGGCGAAGGCGGUCUGCUGGGCAGUAGCUGACACUGAUGCGCGACAGCGUGGGGAGCAAACAGG
rnacentral:rRNA from 1 species